rnacentral:rRNA from 1 species
CGGGGGGCUGCACCAGUGGGGAAUAUUGCACAAUGGGCGCAAGCCUGAUGCAGCAACGCCGCGUGAGGGAUGAAGGCCUUCGGGUUGUAAACCUCUUUUAGCAGGGAAGAAGCGAAAGUGACGGUACCUGCAGAAAAAGCACCGGCUAACUACGUGCCAGCAGCCGCGGUAAUACGUAGGGUGCAAGCGUUGUCCGGAAUUAUUGGGCGUAAAGAGCUCGUAGGCGGUUUGUCACGUCUGCUGUGAAAAUCCAAGGCUCAACCUUGGACUUGCAGUGGGUACGGGCAGGCUAGAGUGCGGUAGGGGAGAUGGGAAUUCCUGGUGUAGCGGUGGAAUGCGCAGAUAUCAGGAGGAACACCAAUGGCGAAGGCACAUCUCUGGGCCGUAACUGACGCUGAGGAGCGAAAGCGUGGGGAGCGAACAGGAUUAGAUACCCCCGUAGUC